rnacentral:rRNA from 1 species
GACGAACGCUGGCGGCGUGCCUAAUACAUGCAAGUCGAGCGAAGCGGCGGAUGGGUGAGUAACGCGUGGGUAACCUGCCCUUAAGUCUGGGAUACCAUUUGGAAACAGAUGCUAAUACCGGAUACUAAAGGAUGGACCUGCGAUGCAUUAGCUAGUUGGUAAGGUAACGGCUUACCAAGGCGAUGAUGCAUGGCCGGGUGGAGGGGGAGGUCGGCGAGAUUGCGACUAAGACACGGCCCACAAUCGUACGGGAGGCAGCAGUAGGAAAUCUUACACCAUGGAUGCAAGUCUGAUGGGGCAACGCCGCGGCAGUGAAGAGGGUUUUCGGAUCGUAAAGUUCUGUUGUUGAUGAAGAAGUACUCACCGAGAAAGUCACGGCUAAAUACGUGCAAGCAGCCGCGGUAAUAC